GAUGAACGCUAGCGGCAGGCUUAAUACAUGCAAGUCGAACGGGAUUUAGGGUAGCAAUACUUUAAUGAGAGUGGCGCACGGGUGCGUAACACGUAUGCAACCUACCUUCAACUGGAAGAUAGCCCCGGGAAAUCGGGAUUAAUAUUUCAUAACAAUGCGCUGUGGCAUCACAGUGCAUUUAAAGCUCCGGCGGUUAAAGAUGGGCAUGCGCGACAUUAGCUAGUUGGUGAGGUAACGGCUCACCAAGGCUACGAUGUCUAGGGGUCCUGAGAGGGUUAUCCCCCACACUGGUACUGAGACACGGACCAGACUCCUACGGGAGGCAGCAGUAAGGAAUAUUGGUCAAUGGGCGCAAGCCUGAACCAGCCAUGCCGCGUGCAGGAAGACGGCCCUAUGGGUUGUAAACUGCUUUUAUCAGGGAAUAAACCUUUGUACGUGUACAGAGCUGAAGGUACCUGAAGAAUAAGCAUCGGCUAACUCCGUGCCAGCGACGC
rnacentral:rRNA from 1 species